rnacentral:rRNA from 1 species
GACGAACGCUGGCGGCGUGCUUAACACAUGCAAGUCGAACGGAAAGGCCCCUUUGUUGGUACUCUAGUGUCGAACGGGUGAGUAACACUUGAGUAACCUGCCCUUGACUUUGGGAUAACUUCAGGAAACUGGGGCUAAUACCGGAUAGGGAUCCUUUCUUCAUGGGGGGGGUUGGAAAGCGCCGGCGGGUUUUGAUGGACUCGCUGCUUAUCAGCUUGUUGGUUUGGUAAGUGAUUACCAAAGCUUUGACGGGUAGCCAGACUGAGAGGGCGACCUGCCACACUGGGACCGAGAUAAGGCACAGACUCCUACGGGAGGCAGAAGUGGGGAAUAUUGAACAAUCGGCGGAAGCCUGAAGCAGCAACGCCGCGUGCGGGAUGACGGCCUUCGGGUUGUAAACCGCUUUCAGAAGGGGCGAAGCUUGUGGUGACGGUACCUGCAGAAGAAGCACCGGCUAACUACGUG